UUCCGGUUGAUCCCGCCAGACCUGACUGCUAUCGGAUUGAUACUAAGCCAUGCGAGUCGUUGUAGCAAUACAAGGCAUACGGCUCAGUAACGCGUAGUCAACCUAACCUAUGGACGGGAAUAACCUCGGGAAACUGAGAAUAAUGCCCGAUAGAACAUUAUGCCUGGAAUGGUUUAUGUUCCAAAUGAUUUAUCGCCAUAGGAUGGGACUGCGGCCUAUCAGUUUGUUGGUGAGGUAAUGGCCCACCAAGACUAUUACAGGUACGGGCUCUGAGAGGAGUAGCCCGGAGAUGGGUACUGAGACACGGACCCAGGCCCUAUGGGGCGCAGCAGGCGAGAAAACUUUGCAAUGUGCGAAAGCACGACAAGGUUAAUCCGAGUGAUUUCUGCUAAAGAGAUUUUUUGUUAGUCCUAGAAACACUAACGAAUAAGGGGUGGGCAAGUUCUGGUGUCAGCCGCCGCGGUAAAACCAGCACCUCAAGUGGUCAGGAUGAUUAUUGGGCCUAAAGCAUCCGUAGCCGGCUCUGUAAGUUUUCGGUUAAAUCUGUACGCUCAACGUACAGGCUGCCGGAAAUACUGCAGAACUAGGGAGUGGGAGAGGUAGACGGUACUCGGUAGGAAGUGGUAAAAUGCUUUGAUCUAUCGAUGACCACCUGUGGCGAAGGCGGUCUACCAGAACACGUCCGACGGUGAGGGAUGAAAGCUGGGGGAGCAAACCGGAUUAGAUACCCGGGUAGUCCCAGCUGUAAACUAUGCAAACUCAGUGAUGCAUUGGCUUGUGGCCAAUGCAGUGCUGCAGGGAAGCCGUUAAGUUUGCCGCCUGGGAAGUACGUACGCAAGUAUGAAACUUAAAGGAAUUGGCGGGGGAGCACCACAAGGGGUGAAGCCUGCGGUUCAAUUGGAUUCAACGCCGGG
rnacentral:rRNA from 1 species